UGGGGGAUAUUGCACAAUGGGCGAAAGCCUGAUGCAGCGACGCCGCGUGGGGGAUGAAGGCUUUCGGGUUGUAAACCUCUUUCGCUAUCGAACAAGGCCCGCUUAGGGUGGGUUGAGGGUAGGUGGAGAAGAAGCGCCGGCUAACUACGUGCCAGCAGCCGCGGUAAUACGUAGGGCGCGAGCGUUGUCCGGAAUUAUUGGGCGUAAAGGGCUUGUAGGCGGCUUGUUGCGCCUGCUGUGAAAACGCGGGGCUUAACUUCGCGCGUGCAGUGGGUACGGGCAGGCAUGAGUGUGGUAGGGGUGACUGGAAUUCCAGGUGUAGCGGUGGAAUGCGCAGAUAUCUGGAGGAACACCGAUGGCGAAGGCAGGGCACUGGGCCAUUACUGACGCUGAGGAGCGAAAGCAUGGGUAGCGAACAGG
rnacentral:rRNA from 1 species